GCCUAACGGCUGAACUGGCAACUUGGAGAAGUGGCAAGUCUUCCAGUAUGGGGAGCAAAACAGCUAUGGGUCAAGUCCGAGAUCUUUAGGAGAAGUCUUAUUGUGAGGGCGAGUUAUAUAACACCAUAGGACUGGCCGUCCCAUAUGAAAAGAUUAUAUUAGAAUUGAAUGAAGCUUUGUUUAUAUAUUGAUAAUGACAGUAUAUAUAUCGUGUCUUGACUAAUUGCGUGCCAGCAGUCGCGGUAAUACGUAAGAGACUAGUGUUAUUCAUCUUAAUUAGGUUUAAAGGGUACCCAGACGGUCAAUAUAGCUUAUAAAAUGUUAGUACUUGACUAGAGUUUUAUGUAAGAGGGCAGUACUUGAGGAGGAGAGAUGAAAUUUCGUGAUACCAAAGGGACUCUGUAAAGGCGAAGGCAGCCCUCUAUGUAAAAACUGACGUUGAAGGACGAAGGCACAGAGAACAAACAGGAUUAGAUACCCAAGUAGUCUUUGCAGUAAAUGAUGAAUGCCAUAGGUUAGAUUAAUAGUUAAUGUUUAUAGGCUAAUUAUUGGCUUAGCUUAGCAAACUAAUGCUAUAGACUAGACAUUAAAAAUUAUUUGGUCUAUAAAUGAAAGUGUAAGCAUUUCACCUCAAGAGUAAUGUGGCAACGCAGGAACUGAAAUCACUAGACCGUUUCUGACACC
rnacentral:rRNA from 1 species